UUGAACCUUCCCACCAAUACUCCAUUGCAUGUUGUUGCCAUGCAACAGAUGGCAGCAGAGGGGCACAUUCUGACCAAAUGGCACCUGACAUGGAAGUGACUAUGAAGUGGAGGCGUGUAACUGAAUUUUUCCGUGUGAUAAAAGCAGCACCCACUGACAUUCAUUGGUGCUUGCUGAAUGUUUAUGAAGACCAAACAGUGGAUGUGAGCAAGGGCAGAAGCAAAAGAGGACCUAGAGACGAUGAUGCUGGCAAAGAUACCAGGCAGAGUCACCCAAAACCCUCUGAGAAGAAUUGUGGCUUCUCGUGAUUCCCAGAGAGGCAUCAAGCUGACCAUCAGGGCACUGACCCAACGCAACACUCGGUUCCUGAAAUUCACUCCAGUGAGACAACCGAAGACAACCACAGGCAUCCAGACAAAUGCAGACAACACAAGCUAAUUUGAGCAGUAACGCAGAAAAUGAAAGGCUCAUCAUUUACCUAAUGUGAUGCUUCCUACUUGAGUAAGGAGGACCUUCUCCUCCAUCUCUUCACUUUAAAAUGAAAGUAUUUUCAGGAUAGGAUCAGGCUACAAGUUUCAGGAAGUUACUGCCUCCAGCUGCAAGUAAUCAUCUUCCCAGCCUAGACUAGUAACUACACGCACUCUUACAUCUCUGUUCCUCUGGCAAGUAAAGCAGGCUUUUGCAAAGCACUUUAAAAUGCUGAUAGGUACUUAAAAUAGGAAUGUGGUUUAAAUGAACCAGUAUUAUUUGUACUAAAGUAGACUGUAAGAGUGCACAACACACACAGCCAGUUAUUAGGUUGCAGCUGAGAGAUUCUUACAUCACACUAACUUAAUUGCUUCUCAUCACCUGGAUAAAUCUCAAGACCUGCUAAGGACACUAGUUCACCUCAAUUCAGGCUUUAAAAUAGAUUCUGCUGGGUUUGUGACUGAAGUGAGACUUUAUGAGUGGAAGUCCAACGCCUAAGAACUCCCAAGGAUCUUCACAACUCCUUUUUUUGGUAAUUUCCUCAACAGAAUACUUUGACAAGUACUGAAUAAAGAUAUCUAUUUUUUUUACUCCUUGGCAUGCAGAUCAGUAUCUUCUAUCGCUGAAGUCUCAGACCCUAGUGAAUCAUGUGAGAUACACCCCUGUGAUCCUGCUGCUGCUACUCCUACCAUCAGCUGAUGACAUCUGUGUGAGAGAGACAAGGAGUACGUGAGAACAGCUUCUCUUACACCAGCUGCCUGCACUGUGCUCCUGCCUCUGCUCCCACCAACACCAGCUCCCCAUCCUCCCAGGGUUUGGGGAAGAAAGAUUACAUUUCCAAUUGCCAACACUGAUGGAAGACUGAGAAGAGAACUUAAAGGUCACAGCCCUCUAAAGUCAGUGUAGCAGAGGUUAUUGAUAUUGUGCUUAGAAGGCCUGAGCUGAAUUGGAUAACCCAAUUUGAAAAGAGAGAAAUGCAGCAGUAUCCACAUGACAAACACCUAAUGCUUUUUGUAACAAUUUGAGAAAUAUCUUUGCUAGAAAAGACAUCAUCAGAGAGCAAUUUCAUGCUAUGCUUUCUUCUGCUCUACAAACACUGUGUUUCAGCUGAUGGACCUUGUAAGUUCAGGCUGGUAACUGUGCUCACGUGCAUCCUCACUGACCACUGAGAGGGGCUUUGCAAGAAGGAAAGUGUUUACUCACAGAUGCAGUCAGCAAAGCUAGACCAAAAGACUGUAAUGUACAUCCAGCUGAAGGUUUUUUACUUGCAGGAAAAAAUACAUACAUGGAUCUUAUAUACAAUAAACAAAUUUUCAGAUCAAAUAAAACUAAAACAUUAAAAAAAAAUAAAGAAAGCAUUUUCAUGAUGUAAAGAUACCUUGCUACUUCAAGACCUUUGAGUCUUCUUUGUGGAUUCCCAAAUGUUUUCUUAAUAGAUGUAUGAACUUUACCUAAUGUGCUUCAAAAGUAGCACUUAUGUGUGUCAUAUGAAUAUGGCAAAACCAAAAACCUCCGUAUCAUUCACCUACAAUGAUGAAAGUCUACCGAGUUUUGAAAGCUCCAAUUCUGUUAAAAAGAUGAAUAGGCUCUACCAUGCUUAAAUAGUGACAAUAAGUAUCUGAAUGGGCCUAAUGUCAGAAGAAACAAGUGACGGCCAGAAGCGUACUCAGUGGUAAACUGGUCUUCAUUUCUAGAAAUCAAGACCAAUAAAUACAUGGUAACAAUCUCACAGUUCCUUAUUUAUUCAUUCCUCAUCUGUACUUCAGUGCACUAGAUACUACAUUUCAUUUAAGAACUGGUUCCUUUAAGUAGGAAUUUUAAUAACAUUCUGGGGACGUACUUUAUUAAUCAUUAAUAUACAUUUUUGUUGCAUUGGAUUUUAGAUUAAAGUUGUUCUUAUACAUUUUUCCCUCACUUGUUGCUUUCUUCCUGCAGUUGGGUUGAAUAUAAAAGAUAUGAAUAUGGCCAACAUUUAAAAAGUUAAUUUAAAUAUAAAUGGCUCUAAAAUGGCACAGAGCUUUUUCUUUCUCCUUUCUCUCAAAGUAACAUUUGUGUUUCUGUUAUAAAAAGGAAAGUGCAACUCUCAACGACAGGUUGGUACUUGCUUAUUUCUGGUUAAAAGUGAUCAAGUGAAGAACAGCAAUUAAAAAUCAGUGAAAUCUGAUUGCAGCAAUAAGCUGCUGGAAUUCAUGUGACGGUGAUAAAAAUCUAAGUACUUUUCCAGUUUCACCAUUUCUUUUUAGACCCACUUGAACACAGCCAGUGUAUUAUCAGUAUAUUACUUGGUGUAUUACUGCCUUCAAACACAACUUAAAACAUCAAAUAUUUACCAUAGGCAAUUUAUGCUUGAGCAAUAAAGGUAGCAAGUAGAUCGUAUCUUAAGUUCUUGUCAUUGAAACAAAUCCCAGGUAAAGCUUAGCUUUGCCUGGGAGAGGUAACGCACACCGUGAUUCAGACAUAAACGGACGAACUGUUAACUGAUGACAGCUUCACUGAAGUUAAAAUUUGCUGCAAUUAAAAGAAUCAAUGAACAGAUUUUUUUCAACCUCAAGACAAGAGUCAUUUCCAGAAUUCCAGGUGUUCCUGCCUUCAGCCCUUUGUUUAAAUUCCAAGUGCAAGUUGUCAGAAGACCCAUAUGCACCGGAACUAUACACUUUGCUCUUGCAAAAAUAGGCUCAACCGGCUCAACAGCAGUAAAUGUAAGGAGCGUUAUCAGAGAUGAUAACACUGACGAAACAGUAUGUUUACUUGGCAGCGGUCAGCUUUGCGCAGUGGGUUGCUGGAAGUGUAGUAAAGUACUUCACCUGCUCCCUUCACCUGUCACAGUGAGAGGGGGGGUUAAGUGCCUGUGUUUUGAAAACAUUACUGAGGUUUAUUCUGAUAAAAGAUUAUGGCUUAGUUUAAGCUCUUCCUGCUUAAACAAGGUGGGUGCAAAGGAAAAUGGGGGCUGAAAGGAGGAGAUCCUAUGAGGGUAUCUACCAGCAACGGAAACGAGAAAAACCAGUUCUUAAACACUUCUAAAGCCUUCAUGGUAAAUAUUUACCAGUAAACAACCCAAUUGUUCAGUGUUUAUAUCUUGAAAAAGGUUUAUUUACUGUGUUUUGCCAGGAGUUUGAUGUAAAAUGAUACACUGUUAUUUACACGAGGCCAAAAACUCCAAUGAAGUCAACCUAAACAAAGCUUCAGAACUGCUUUUACAUUUAAGCACCAGAGGUAAUAACAACAAAAAAUACUACUUCUAAACAACCUGUGAUCAGAUAAAAGUCUCCUUCAGUUGCAGAAAGACUGCUUUUUAAUUGCCUGUUUCAUUUUCAAACGUACGAAUACUUAUCAGAACCCUUAGCAGUGACAACAACAAAAUCUAGCAUAAAUGAAAUUUCUAUGAUGAUGAAUAUUACCCCAGUAAAAAAAAAAGUUCAGCCCUUUCAAGUUAUUCACACAGUUAGGUCAUGGACAGCACAGUAGCACUUGCAGAAAGGUUAAAAUAGCAUCACUUUUCUUACUGUAACCACAGCUGUGCUCAGUUCUGACAUGAAUGAUUGCAGGGCUAAUAACAGUCCGUAAUACACAUGAAAUUCUCAGAA